UCAGGAUGAACGCUAGCUACAGGCUUAACACAUGCAAGUCGAGGGGCAGCAUUGGAGUAGCAAUACUUCAGAUGGCGACCGGCGCACGGGUGAGUAACACGUAUCCAACCUGCCGCUUACUCGGGGAUAGCCUUUCGAAAGAAAGAUUAAUACCCGAUGGUAUAAAGAGUUCGCAUGUUCUCUUUAUUAAAGAAUUUCGGUAAGCGGUGGGGAUGCGUUCCAUUAGAUAGUUGGCGGGGUAACGGCCCACCAAGUCUACGAUGGAUAGGGGUUCUGAGAGGAAGGUCCCCCACAUUGGAACUGAGACACGGUCCAAACUCCUACGGGAGGCAGCAGUGAGGAAUAUUGGUCAAUGGACGAGAGUCUGAACCAGCCAAGUAGCGUGAAGGAUGACUGCCCUAUGGGUUGUAAACUUCUUUUAUAAGGGAAUAAAGUGAGGGACGUGUCCCUUUUUGUAUGUACCUUAUGAAUAAGGAUCGGCUAACUCCGUGCCAGCAGCCGCGGUAAUACGGAGGAUCCAAGCGUUAUCCGGAUUUAUUGGGUUUAAAGGGAGCGUAGGUUGACAUAUAAGUCAGCUGUGAAAGUUUACGGCUCAACCGUGAAAUUGCAGUUGAUACUGUAUGUCUUGAGUGUACAAGAGGUGGGCGGAAUUCGUGGUGUAGCGGUGAAAUGCUUAGAUAUCACGAAGAACUCCAAUUGCGAAGGCAGCUCACUGGGGUACAACUGACACUGAGGCUCGAAAGUGUGGGUAUCAAACAGGAUUAGAUACCCUGGUAGUCCACACAGUAAACGAUGAAUACUCGCUGUUUGCGAUAUACAGUAAGCGGCCAAGCGAAAGCAUUAAGUAUUCCACCUGGGGAGUACGCCGGCAACGGUGAAACUCAAAGGAAUUGACGGGGGCCCGCACAAGCGGAGGAACAUGUGGUUUAAUUCGAUGAUACGCGAGGAACCUUACCCGGGCUUGAAUUGCAGAGGAACAUAGUUGAAAGAUUAUGGCCGCAAGGUCUCUGUGAAGGUGCUGCAUGGUUGUCGUCAGCUCGUGCCGUGAGGUGUCGGCUUAAGUGCCAUAACGAGCGCAACCCUUAUCAUUAGUUACUAACAGGUCAUGCUGAGGACUCUAGUGAGACUGCCGUCGUAAGAUGU
rnacentral:rRNA from 1 species